AACUCUACUUUCUCAGAUUUUUUUUUUUUUUUCCUACAUUCAGGAUCAAUUGUGAGAGGCCCUGAUGUCUCAGAGGAAAAUAUUGCAACAAAACAAGAUAAUUGGGGGAAAGGCGGCUGCAAGGCGGCUGACAUGGUCAACAUAUUUAUCAAAGAAACCCCCUGGCUUUUGAAGAAUUGUACUUUAUACAUCUGGAUCUGCACAUCCAGGCAAAGUAAGUAAAUUAUUGCAUAACUUUAAGCAUAAUUGAUAACAGACACCUUUAAUUUUUCAUCCCCAUUCUUUUGGCCAGCUUUCACAUUAAUAAUCUAAGCCAUAAAUGUUGGUAGCUAUUGAUCGAAAUCCCCUGUGUGCAUGCAAAUCCAU
rnacentral:lncRNA from 1 species